UGCUCAACGAAUAGCGCGCGCGCGCGCGUGUUGGACUUCUAAUCCAAAGGUCGUGGGUUUGAAUCCCACCUGGGCAG